GUACGCACUGGCCCAGCUGAUUGAUGGUGCUUGCACCUGAUUGACGAUGGAUCACCAGUGAGUGGCGGACGGGUGAGUAACACGUAGGUAACCUGCCCCCGGAGCGGGGGAUAACAUUUGGAAACAGAUGCUAAUACCGCAUAACAACAAAAGCCACAUGGCUUUUGUUUGAAAGAUGGCUUUGGCUAUCACUCUGGGAUGGACCUGCGGUGCAUUAGCUAGUUGGUAAGGUAACGGCUUACCAAGGCGAUGAUGCAUAGCCGAGUUGAGAGACUGAUCGGCCACAAUGGAACUGAGACACGGUCCAUACUCCUACGGGAGGCAGCAGUAGGGAAUCUUCCACAAUGGGCGCAAGCCUGAUGGAGCAACACCGCGUGAGUGAAGAAGGGUUUCGGCUCGUAAAGCUCUGUUGUUGGAGAAGAACGUGCGUGAGAGUAACUGUUCACGCAGUGACGGUAUCCAACCAGAAAGUCACGGCUAACUACGUGCCAGCAGCCGCGGUAAUACGUAGGUGGCAAGCGUUAUCCGGAUUUAUUGGGCGUAAAGCGAGCGCAGGCGGUUGCUUAGGUCUGAUGUGAAAGCCUUCGGCUUAACCGAAGAAGUGCAUCGGAAACCGGGCGACUUGAGUGCAGAAGAGGACAGUGGAACUCCAUGUGUAGCGGUGGAAUGCGUAGAUAUAUGGAAGAACACCAGUGGCGAAGGCGGCUGUCUGGUCUGCAACUGACGCUGAGGCUCGAAAGCAUGGGUAGCGAACAGGAUUAGAUACCCUGGUAGUCCAUGCCGUAA
rnacentral:rRNA from 1 species